GACGAACGCUGGCGGCGUGCUUAACACAUGCAAGUCGAACGGUGAAGCGCCUUCCUUUUUGGUGGGUGUGGAUGAGUGGCGAACGGGUGAGUAACACGUGAGUAACCUGCCCCCUUCUUCUGGAUAACCGCAUGAAAGUGUGGCUAAUACGGGAUAUUCUGGGUCUGUCGCAUGAUGGGUCUGGGAAAGAUAUUGUUUCGGUGGGGGAUGGGCUCGCGGCCUAUCAGCUUGUUGGUGGGGUGAUGGCCUACCAAGGCGGUGACGGGUAGCCGGCCUGAGAGGGUGGACGGUCACACUGGGACUGAGACACGGCCCAGACUCCUACGGGAGGCAGCAGUGGGGAAUAUUGCACAAUGGGCGAAAGCCUGAUGCAGCGACGCCGCGUGAGGGAUGGAGGCCUUCGGGUUGUGAACCUCUUUCGCCAGUGAAGCAGGCCUGCCUCGUUUGUGGGUGGGUUGACGGUAGCUGGAUAAGAAGCGCCGGCUAGCUACGUG
rnacentral:rRNA from 1 species